GGGCCCGCACAAGCGGUGGAGCAUGUGGUUCAAUUCGACGCAACGCGAAGAACCUUACCUGGGCUCGAACGGGUAGUCAACGGCGGUGGAAACAUCGCUACCCCGCAAGGGGGUCUAUUCGAGGUGCUGCAUGGCUGUCGUCAGCUCGUGUCGUGAGAUGUUGGGUUAAGUCCCGCAACGAGCGCAACCCUUGUCCUGUGUUGCCAUCAUUCAGUUGGGAACUCGCAGGAGACCGCCAGCGAUAAGUUGGAGGAAGGUGGGGAUGACGUCAAGUCCUCAUGGCCUUUAUGUCCAGGGCUACACACGUGCUACAAUGGACGGUACAAAGCGCAGCGAACCCGCGAGGGGGAGCCAAUCGCAAAAAACCGUUCUCAGUUCGGAUUGCAGGCUGCAACUCGCCUGCAUGAAGCUGGAAUCGCUAGUAAUGGCAGAUCAGCACGCUGCCGUGAAUACGUUCCCGGGCCUU
rnacentral:rRNA from 1 species